AACGAACGCUGGCGGCAUGCCUAACACAUGCAAGUCGAACGAGACCUUCGGGUCUAGUGGCGCACGGGUGCGUAACGCGUGGGAACCUUCCCUUAGGUUCGGAAUAACUCCCCGAAAGGGGUGCUAAUACCGGAUAAUGUCUUCGGACCAAAGAUUUAUCGCCUUUGGAUGGGCCCGCGUUGGAUUAGCUAGUUGGUAGGGUAAAAGCCUACCAAGGCGACGAUCCAUAGCUGGUCUGAGAGGAUGAUCAGCCACACUGGGACUGAGACACGGCCCAGACUCCUACGGGAAGCAGCAGUGGGGAAUAUUGGACAAUGGGCGAAAGCCUGAUCCAGCAAUGCCGCGUGAGUGAUGAAGGCCUUAGGGUUGUAAAGCUCUUUUACCCGGGAUGAUAAUGACAGUACCGGGAGAAUAAGCUCCGGCUAACUCCGUG
rnacentral:rRNA from 1 species